rnacentral:lncRNA from 1 species
CCAUACGCCGUCCUGAGCGAUCUGUGAGGAGCGUUGGGCCUGAGACGGGUCUGUUUAUUCAGUCCCGGUUCUUUCUCACUACUUAAGACUCACCAGGGAGAAAUAUGAGUGGGCAAGUGGCAUCAGCAUUGGGACCUACAAAGCAAGAUUGCUCCCAGGUGGAUGAACCUGUGGUUGACCAGCAGCCCAGUGUUGAGCAACCUCAACAAGAGGAACCGCCAGCUGAGAUUCAGGAUAUCACACCUAGAAAGGAGGAAGUACAUGUAGAGGAUCCAGUGAAUCGUGAUGAAGAAGAGGAGAAGGAUCCCUUUGAAGGUAAAGUGUAUCUGUGCCUCAUGCCUUAAGACAUAACCAGUAAGAAGAGGAAAGGAAACAUUAGAAAAGGACUUCAGACAGUUCCUAAGAAACUGAGGAGAGUAUAGUUUGCAGGUCAGUGUGGUCCCUCAAAUUUUCCCUUGUUUUCAAGA